rnacentral:rRNA from 1 species
GAUGAACGCUGGCGGCGUGCCUAAUACAUGCAAGUCGAGCGAAUGGAUUAAGAGCUUGCUCUUAUGAAGUUAGCGGCGGACGGGUGAGUAACACGUGGGUAACCUGCCCAUAAGACUGGGAUAACUCCGGGAAACCGGGGCUAAUACCGGAUAACAUUUUGAACCGCAUGGUUCGAAAUUGAAAGGCGGCUUCGGCUGUCACUUAUGGAUGGACCCGCGUCGCAUUAGCUAGUUGGUGAGGUAACGGCUCACCAAGGCAACGAUGCGUAGCCGACCUGGGAGGGUGAUCGGCCACACUGGGACUGAGGCACGGCCCAGACUCCUACGGGAGGCAGCAGGAGGGAAUCUUCCGCAAUGGACGAAAGUCUGACGGAGCAACGCCGCGUGAGUGAUGAAGGCUUUCGGGUCGUAAAACUCUGUUGUUAGGGAAGAACAAGUGCUAGUUGAAUAAGCUGGCACCUUGACGGUACCUAACCAGAAAGCCACGGCUAACUACGUGCCAGCCGCCGCGGUAA